ACAAGUUUUGUUGUGUGUGGAAGAAGUGUUCCACUUGUGUGACUUUAUUUGCCGACUUUGUGGCCCUUAUCAUGGGCGCCUAAAUUAAAGUCAGAGUUUACAGAUGGUAGUGCUUUGAAGAAGAGGAAAGCCAUCACGAUGGAAGUGAAAUUAGACAUUGUAGAGAGAUCAGAGGGAAUAAAAGAACUUGAAAUUGAAACUGCAGAAAUAAGCAAAUUACGAAUUUGAAGAAGAGGGAGGUCUUCAGGAGGCGAUACCUUAAAGAAAUGAGCCCCAAAGAAGGAAUGAAGGUAGGCACUUUGAUCCACCACCAAGUCUAUCAUCAGUCGUUAUUUUCAAAAAAAAAAAAAAAAA